UACGGAGGGUGCGAGCGUUAAUCGGAAUUACUGGGCGUAAAGCGCACGUAGGCGGUCAGGCAAGUCGGGUGUGAAAGCCCUGGGCUCAACCUGGGAAUUGCAUUCGAAACUAUCUGACUAGAGUAUGGGAGAGGGAAGCGGAAUUUCCGGUGUAGCGGUGAAAUGCGUAGAUAUCGAGAGGAACACCUGCGGCGAAGGCGGGUUGCUGGGCUGACACUGACGCUGAGGCGCGAAAGCUAGGGGAGCGAACGGG
rnacentral:rRNA from 1 species